CGAGAGCGCCAAGCGGGCCGCACAGCUCGGGGAGCACGGGAGUCAACAUAUCUGCAAUAAUGAUUUCAGGAGUGGAAUUCCAGGGAUUCAUCCCCUGCUUACAACCCCCAGUGCUCACCCCAACGAGGAUCCUCCUAAAUUUGGGAUUGGUGCCAUUAUAGGAGACCUGCGUGCGGCACUCCCUCGCCCCUGCCACCAUGUGAGGACACAGGGAACCAGGAGGUGGGUCCUCACCAGUCACUGAGUCUGUUAGUGUCUUGAUCUGUGACUUCAGCCUCCAGAACCGUGAGCAAUAACGGGUGGUAUUUACAAGCCACCUGCUUUGCGAUAUUCUGUUAUGGCGCCCAGACCGACCAACACAGACACAUCGAGAGGGAAGACCAGCCAAGGACACAAUGGGAGGCAGCCCUCCGCGAGUCCAGCGGGGAGAAACCGGCACUGCCUGCUCCUUGAUCUUGGGCUUCCAGCCCCCAGAACUGUGAGAAAAGAAAUACAUUUGGGUUGGGUAAGCCGCCCCAGCUGUGCUAUGUUGUUACGGAGGCCCUGGGACUGCGCACACACAUCCAUUAAAAUGUGUUUGUGUCCAUCUUUUGAGGAUCCCAGACACAUCAAGACAGAAACAGUUAUGGAGUAGUUGGGGGUAGGAAGAAGGGUACGUGCCAGGGUGGGCAGGUGGGUGACCAGUAUGACCCCGGUAUGACCAGGGUGACCAGCCUAAGGCUCUGUGCUUAGAGACAGUAAAGCAAGAAGAUAUGGACUGGCUGGGUUUUUUUAAAAAAAAAUAUUUAUUUUUGAGAGAGAACGCACACGUGGGGAAGGGGCAGAGAGAGAGAGAGAGAGACACGGAGAAUCUGAAGCAGGCUCUGCGCUGACGACAGGGAGCCCGAUGUGGGGCUCGAGCCCACAAACUGCGAGAUCACGACCUGAGCCGAAGUCAGAGGCUCGGCACACUGAGCCACCCAGGCGCCCCUGUUUUUCAAACUGGACUGAGACUGCCCUCCUCGGAUUUCCUCUUGCAGGGCUCCGCAUCCGCAGUCCUUUCCUCUCGCUGGGAGCGGGUGUCACUUACCUCACACACUUGCCCACCCAGGACAUCUGACCCAGCUUGUAUAACUGGAGCCAAAGGCCUUCCUGGCACGGAAAGGGGCCCAAAAGCUGGUUCUUAGAUACGCUCCAGCCCGGCCUGUUUAUCUCGUGAGCUUCAGAAGGCAAGCCGCCCCCGCCCGCCAUGGCUCCUUCCCCGUGUGAUUACAUCUUUCCUUGAUCCCACUGACCGAGCAUUGCUGUUGGGUUGGUGUGGAUGCUGCUGAAUGCCCACUGUCACUUUCUGUAUUCAUCUUGGGGAGCAGUAACCCAGCCUGUCGGGGCCUCCUGCACAGACCGCCCUUUGAAUGGUGUUCUGAGCCUUCAGUGACGCUGGCAGCGAUGAUGCAUUACAAAACCAAACAAAUUAGUCCUCGGGACAGACGACCCGGGGGCAAAUCAAGCACCACAACAGAAAAGACAAGCUUUCAAACCAACGAGAGAAGACAAGAUUGUAAUGCCUUCCUAACAACCUUGCUUUAUUGAUGCAAUGCAAGGAAAACUACAUUAGAUUCUAUUGAUUCUCUUUGAGAUCUAAUAAUAUGCUCUAUUCAGAUCUUAUUCACAUACACUUCCUCCACAGUCUUUCUCAGGAGCUGAAAUUGGCCAGUUACAAACAGAAUUUGUUCUCCUGUCCUUUGAAAUCACAGAAGCGGACGUGUUUUCGAACACAAAAGAUACGAAGCUUUCUUUGGGAAACAAAGCAUAGUGGGGAAAAAUAUCUCCCCUCUAAACAAAAUUGAAAGCAUGCCUUACUUCAGAUUUAUUUGAUUACAGAAUCUUCCUCGGGGCUAAUCAGUUUUCGAACCCAUUCCUAUUGGCACCAGUGAGCUAAUAAAAAACCCAGAAGGAGAGAAGUAUCACAACAACUCAGAGAAACAAGGUUGUUCAUU